GACGAACGCUGGCGGCGUGCUUAACACAUGCAAGUCGAACGGAAAGGCCCUGCUUUUGUGGGGUGCUCGAGUGGCGAACGGGUGAGUAACACGUGAGUAACCUGCCCUUGACUUUGGGAUAACUUCAGGAAACUGGGGCUAAUACCGGAUAGGAUCUCCUGCUGCAUGGUGGGGGUUGGAAAGUUUCGGCGGUUGGGGAUGGACUCGCGGCUUAUCAGCUUGUUGGUGGGGUAGUGGCUUACCAAGGCUUUGACGGGUAGCCGGCCUGAGAGGGUGACCGGGGACAUGGGGACUGAGAGAGGGCCCAGAAGCCUAGGGGAGGCAGGAGUGGGGAAUAUUGCACAAUGGGCGGAAGCCGGAUGCAGCAACGCCGCGUGCGGGAUGACGGCCUUCGGGUUGUAAACCGCUUUCGCCUGUGACGAAGCGGGAGUGACGGUAAUGGGUAAAGAAGCACCGGCUAACUACGUG
rnacentral:rRNA from 1 species